ensembl:lncRNA
UCAGUUUUUCUGCUGGUGCUGAGCUGUGACGGGGACAAGGGGGACAGGGUCCUUCUUCAGGUUCUUUACUGUGUCACCUCAGUGAUUCGAUAUGUAAGUGACUAUGAAGGAGUAGCACUAACCAUUAUUGAUAACAUUAUUUCUAGGAGAAAAAUCUGUUCUGAAUUACAAAUUACUGGUUGAAAUUGGAUUUUUGGAAGCGAACCUAUAACACCUGCCCAUAAGUUUGUGGGACUAAAUUGCUCCUCACAUGGAAAAGCAUUGUCUUGCAUUGGGAGGACAAACAACUGUUUUAGGUUAUUCCUGCAGGGAAACCCUCUGUUGUUCUUUACUUUUUACCCCCUUUUGAUUAAAAGCUGGGAAAGUAUUGUGUGGAAGACUGUGUAGUCACUGGCUAAUUAAAGUUGCAAUAACACGUGGUAAAAUACAAUGGGGGCUUUCUGUAUGGCCAUUUUAGACAUCUGAUAAAAUGUUCUGAGGGCUCAGAGAGCACGAUGUGUAGCAAAGGAAAUUGAGUUAAUCAGGGGCGAUGCUGUGAAUACCUUAUGGCUGCUUAUGCUGGCAUCUGAGAACUACCGUUGGGCUGUUGGGUCCCAGCUGAUGGUCUGGGUGCUUCUAGACAAGGGUGCUGCCCUGCAUCUCUCAGGAUGUUCCAGCUGUACUUAGCUAGCUGGUGGCAACUCCUGCCUCCAUAGCUGGAAUUCUUUACAUUAUAUGCAGGCUAGGGUUGGUGCAAAAUCAUGAUGUAGCCCAAAUAAUCUUAGCAUAACUUUUCAUUUAAUUUACUGGCUAGGCAGUACAUUUAGAUUGUUGUUAAAAAUAUAUAAAGUUAUGCACUGAAAAGUGUCACUCCUGCUUCUGUCCCCUAUCUGCUUUAUACUCCCCUCCCUCCACUAGAAUAACCUCUGGAAUAAGAUUCUGUAUUCUUUUUUCUUUUUUUCUUUUUCUUUUUGCUUUUUAGGGCCACACCCACAGCAUAUGGAGGUCCCGGGCUAGGGGUUGAAUUAAAGCUGUAGCUGCCAGCCUACUCCACAGCCACAAGCAACGUCAGAUCGGAGCCAUGUGUGGCCUACACCACAGCUCAUAGCACCGCCAGAUCCUUAACCCACUGAACGAGGCCACUGCAUCCUCAUGGAUGCUAGUCAGAUUUGUUUCCGCUGAGCCACUAUGGGAACUCCCCUAGUUUCUCUGUAUUCUUCCAGAAUUUCUUCAUGCAGACAUAAAAAUACGAAUUUAUGUUAUUUUCUUUCCAUUUGCUAUAUAUGUAAUUUUUGUUAUUGCCUUUCUUUAUUCACAUAUAUGAUCAAAAGUAAUUAAUUUUCAUUAUUUUUCCGUAUGCCUUUGAAACCGGUUUCUUUUUUAUUUGAAAUCAGUUAACUUUUUGGGGUGGGUCAGAGAAUGCAGUUGAUUUGGGAAAAGUAAGAUUAAUUAACAAUUAAUUAACAUUGAAAACGUUAAAAAGCAUUUUCUGCUUAUUAAUCUGGUAUCCUGCAUGCUGAGUGUGAACUACUUCCUGACCUGGGGGGAGACUAUUAUUGAUAUGGGGCUGUGUUUGAAUUUUAGUGUGGAAUGUUUUUCUCUGAGAUAGUGACUUCAUUAGCUAAAUAAAUGCAUUUGAUCAGGAGAUGUGCUUGGUAUUUGAAUUUCAUUGGGUUCGUUUUAACUACUUUGCAGAGUAUCGUAUAGAGUCACCCUCACAGACAUUUGAGUGAAACAACUGUGGGCAUUUGAGUAAUUUUUUUCCAGGUUGUUGAUCUGGUUAAGACCAAAGGUUGGUUCUGAAUCAAUAUAGAAAUGACUAACUAAAGCAUUAUUCAUGAGUGUCGACUCAGAAACUUAAUCAUGGCAUUACACAGCCUACUGUGUAGUUUUGUGUCAAUAAAAGUACAUUAAAAAGCUUUCAGUCUUACAAAGUAUGUCAUCAAAUAGUUCUAACUAUAAAAUUAAUGUGUAUUCAUCAUAUGUGUCAAAUCUGUGAAAUUAUAGAGACUAU